CAGAAAUGGUUUGGUUAACAUUCACCUCUUCUCCUUCUCUCUUCUUGCCUUUUCUAUUCUUCUUCUUCCUAUACAUUUGCCAUCGCAACCGCAUGGCCAUGUCCCAAGAAGACCUCGGAUGGUUUUGCGAUAAUUCAGAAGGAAACUACACCACUAACAGUCCCUACAAACCCAAUCUAAACCACCUCCUUUCCACUUUCACCACCCAUCAAAUCGACUACGGCUUCUACAACCUCUCCUACGGCCAUGACCACAAAGCUUAUGCUAUUGGUCUAUGCAGAGGAGACGUUAUGCCUGACUCUUGCAGAAGUUGCCUCAACAACUCAAUAACACUUCUCACCAAUAACUGUCCCACCCAAACUAAUGCCAUUGUUUGGUACGAAGACUGUACGUUUCGUUACUCCGACCGCUCUCUGUUCGGCACACUGGACGUUUCCCCCACUCGCUUUGUGGUGCUGCCCGUUAUCAGUAAUGUUUCGGACUUUAGGUACACUCAGUUAGCCACUGAUAUGCUUCAACAACUCACUCCUAAAGCUGCAUCCGGUGAUUCCCGUUUGAAGUAUGCCACUAGAAGAGUUGCUGUCCCGAAUUUUCCUGUCCUUUCUGGGGCUGUGCAGUGUACUCCUGAUUUAACUUCCGAUGCUUGCUCCAACUGCCUGCUUGCUUCAAUUGCACAAGUUCGAGAUGCUUAUGAUACGGUCCCAAGAGUUAGGAUUAUGAAACCCAGUUGCAAUAUUCGAUUUGACAUCAACCGCCUCUUUCUGGAUCCACGGGCUUCAUCCCCACCCCCCAGUUUCUCAAACACAACUACUACUACUAAUAAUUCUCCACGAGGCAAUUUUCUUUCCUUUGUUUUCCUUUUCUUUCUGUCUCUGUCUCGUAACGUAUUGGAAAUUACUCUGUAUUUUUUCCAGGAAACAAAGCUCGAAAACUCGUCUUGGUUUUGGUGCCUAUUGUCGUCGUUGUUCUGGCUGCUCUACUACUAAUUAUCACCAUCACCUUAAGGGCAAGGAAUUCAAAUAAAAAAAGUAAAGCUGAAAGUCCAUUUCAUACCCAAUUUUACUUCACUCCAAGCUUCAUUUGUGUGUGUGUUUUAACUUUUUACUUUUGACUCAUUGAUCUGCGUGAAGAUCAUAUUGCAAAUGAAGAAUCUUUGCAGUUCGAUUUUGAUACAAUUAGAACGGCUACAGAUGGAUUCUCUGAGGCAAAUCAACUCGGGCGAGGGGGGUUUGGAGCUGUUUAUAAGGUAAUCUGAGGUUCUAAUGACAAUUUUCAAUACAAUUUGAAGAACCAAUUUAAUUGAUGAAAUUAAUUGACAGGGUCGGCUUCCGGAUGGACAAUAUGUAGCUGUGAAACGACUAUUUCAAAGCUCAAAACAAGGAGAUGAUGAAUUUAAGAACGAAAUCGUGUUGGUGGCUAAGCUUCAGCAUCGGAAUUUAGUUCAACUUUUGGGUUUCUGUAUCAAACAAAAUGAAAAGCUCCUCAUUUACGAGUUUGUGGAGAACUCCAGUCUUGAGAAAUUCCUCUUUGGUAACCCCUUUCUCUCUUUCUCCCACUUCAUUUAUUUACCUAAAUAGUUUUUUUCCCUUAUGAUUCUUUUUGGAAAUUAAAAUUUGUAUAUCUUUCCUAAUUUUGAAUAUAAAAAAAAAAAAAAAAACUAUGGAUGCAGAUUCUAUUAAGCGCGAGAGUUUAGAUUGGAAAACUCGAUACAAUAUCAUACAAGACAUUGUUCGAGGACUUAUAUACCUUCAUGAAGACUCUCAACUUCGAAUCAUUCAUCGAGAUCUUAAAGCCUGUAACAUUUUAUUAGAUGCAGAGAUGAAUGCUAAAAUUUCUGAUUUUGGAACUGCAAAACUAUUUGAACAUGAUCAAACACGAGGAGAUACGAGAAAAAUCAUGGGUACCUAGUAAGUAUUAUGGUAGCAACUAUACCAUGCUCCAUUUUAUGUGGUGAAAGAUCUACUAACUAAACUUUAUUUAAUGCAGUGGAUAUAUGGCUCCUGAGUAUGCGCGGCAUGGUCAAUUUUCAGUCAAAUUAGAUGUAUUUAGCUUUGGUGUUUUAAUUUUGGAGAUUGUGACUGGACAAAAGAAUAACCGAGCUCAAACCAACAAAGAGAUUUCUGAGUCUCUUAUUAGCCAUGUAAGUACAAAAUUCUGCCUUUGUGUUUCCUAUAUUUGGAUAAAUUUUUGUGUCAUAAGAGUAGAUGGAAGUGAAUCCUCAUUCUAAUCGUUGUUCUCGUAGGCAUGGAAAAGUUGGCAAUCAGGAAAUGCACUUGAUAUUGUUGAUCCAUGUUUGAAAAGUGGUUCAAAAGUUGAAAUGGCUAGAUGCAUUCAUGUUGGAUUGUUAUGUGUUCAAGAAAAUCCACUUGAGAGGCCAACAAUGACUACCGUACUUCUCAUGCUUAGCAGUGGUUCUACUACUCUUCCAAAACCCUCUGAACCAGCAUUUUUUAUCAAUAGUAAAUGCUCGCAAAUGCCGGGACAGUUUACAGAUCAUAGUUUAACUCAAGAUGUGAAUGAAUUGUCAAUUACUGAGUUAUAUCCUCGUUAGUGUGAUCUUAAAUUAUGUCGUUUUGUUGUUAUGAAAUAAUAAUACCUUGGACAAGUAAAAGAUGUAAUAGGAUGUUGUAUGAUGAGUGAACCUACAUGUUAUGUUAGUAAAAUGUAAUUAGUAAAUAUGCGAUCUCUUUGUCCAUUGUAAAAGAUUUGAAAUAACAACUUCCUUCCUAAAUUUGGUCUUUGGUGAGAAAGUAAAAGUUUAUUCUUAUCAUUUUAGAACUUGGAAUUGAAUUUGUAUGAUUUUGAUAAAAUUUUCACAAUAGUCCCUACAUUUUGAACUAAUUUAUAAAUAAGUAUUUAUGUUAUAACUUUAAUACUAUUAAUUUAUUAGGAUCAUGAUCAAUUCCCCUCAUUUUUUUGGAGGUAUAUAUUAAGAUCAAAGUAGUAAUAAUGAGUCUAGUUUUGGAUUGUAUGUAAAAUAAUAAGUUGGUGAUAGAAAACAAUGAAAAAGAAAAAGAAAAUCAAAAUAGCUCCCGGAAAAUUAUAAGUUGUUAAUUAAGAAUGAGAUAGGAAAAAUAAUGGCCUAAAUUAAACAAUAAUAUAAACAAAUACUACUUCUCUUUUAGUUAUAUGGAUGAGUAGAAUGAGAAAGUAAAAUGGACAGGUCUUUUAUUUUAAAUUAGUAUAUAUCUUUUUUAUGCCUUUUCAGAUCAAUACUCUAAAAUUUAUAGCAUCUUUUUUGAGAGAGUGUUUUUUUAAUUUAAAAAUUAGUAUUAUUUUAGAUGUUAAAAAUUUAAUAUUUAGACAUAACCACACAACCAAAGGAGUUGAAAAAUAAAAUAUGGUGAAACUAAAUUUAAAUCAAUUAUUUUAGUUACACAUUUUCAAAUUCUUUAACUUAAAAGUGUGAUUUUAGUUAAGUCUCUUUACUUUAAGUUUAGUUAGGAAUCAAAUUGUGAUAAUAUUUAAUUUCCUUUUUAAAAAUUAAUAUUAUAUAUCUAAAUUAUAGAAUAUUUUUAAAUUAUAUUAUUGAAGAUUAUUGAAAGAAGUAGAAGUAAUAAAGAAAAAGAAGAAAAAAGAGAGUUAAGUAAUAUAUAAAAACAUGAUAGCAAUGACUUUAGAGAAUUGAUGUAGAAAAUAUUCAUAUAUAUAUAUAUAUAUAUAUAAUGUUAGGUUUUUAUGAGAUUAAAUAGUUAAUAUAUUGUCUUUUAUUAUUUUAGAAUUUGAAUGUUUGUAACAAAUAUUCAUAAGUCGUCCAUAGUAGAUACGAAAUAUAAAGGUUAUAUAAUAAUAUUUUAAACUAGAAAUUAAAAAAUGUGUAUCUAAAAUCAUUGAUUUGAAUUUAGUUUCACCAUAUUUUAGUUUCAACUCUUUUGGUUUGGAAAUUUUUUAAAAAUAAUAGAUUUUACAAAAUAUUUCCAACCUAUAACAAAUUCUAUUACUGAUAGUCAUUGAUAUGUCAUAGUGAUAGAAGACUAUCAGUAAUGAAUCCAAAAUUUUGCUAUAGCUUGUAAAUAUUUUAGUUUAUUUUGCUAUUUUUAAAAAGGUCCCUUUUACUUUCUCAUUUUAACUAGAAAAAUAAAAGAAAAUAAUAUGGAAGAAAAAUUUACAUUCUACUCAUUUAUAUAACUAAAAAAAAUAACAAAAAGAGAAAUAGUUUCAAAAGAAAUAGAAAAUAAGAGAAAAUAAUUUAAAAAGAUGCAUAUCAAAGAAGAUAUUUGUAUAUAGAUCUCCAAUACCGAAGAAAUAAAUCUUAUCGAUCUUCUUGUAUUUUUCUCUUCUCCUAAUCGAUGAUGUGAUUUUUAUAGAUUCACUAUUUAUCUUUAUCGUCUCGUUUUUCUUGUCUCCUUGCACUUCUCUCUCCACUUCCAAUCAUUUGUUGCUUCGAGGAAGCAAGGGGAUACCAUAUACUUUUAUAUUGAAUAAAUUGGUAGAAAGUGUGAGUUAGAGAAUUUUAAAAGACUUCCUUUAAUUGAUUGGAUACAAAAUUUUCUACUACCCAUAAACUUAAUUAAGGUAAUAAAUAGUAUUCAAUCAAAUAUUAAAGCGGUAGAGAAAUACAGAGGAAGAGUUACCACUAUUCAUGCAUUGAAAUUGAAUGACAAAAUUGUCAUCAAAUAAAUAGUAAGAAUACUUAUAAUCAAAAGGGUAAAAUGGACUAAAAGAAUUUAUCCAUAUAAGAGCUUUUAUAUAUACUAUAGUUUAAUUUUGAAACAUCUUUAUCAUUAAUUAUAAUUAACAAUGAAAUAUUAAUUCUAAAAAAACUAGCAUUACAAAAAACAUAAACUUGUACUCCCAUAGCUUAUGAGAGUUUUUGUAAUCUCCUCCUUGGUUUGAGCUCGUUUAUUCUUUUGUUUCAGUCACAAUUUCAACUAAAACACCAAAACUAAAUACAUCUUAUUUGACUGAAAAAUGACCGUUUUAUACAUGCUCUGGAGCCAUAUAUCCUCUGCAUUCAAUAGUGGUAUUAAACAAAUGGUUGAAUUAUAACUAAUCAAUGAUACUCAAAUUAUAAAUUAUUACAAGUUAAUUAAUUUAUGAAACUAGGGUAGUUAGAUUCAAAUAUUAUAAUUUAGAUUUUAUAUAAUUUUUUUAAAUUAUAAAUUUGGUUUUGAAUCUAAAUUAAUUAAUUUUUUAGAAAAGAAGAUUAAAUCAAUUAAUUUUAGUAAUAUAUAAAAAAAAUGAAUAAAUACAUAAAUUAAAAGCAUAAUUAAAGAAAACCCACACUUAAAUGAUAGAUGAGAAUAACAUAUUCUCACGUUUGAAGCUUCAAAACUUGAAUCAAACAAGGGGAUAUGAUCACAUUUUCGUUUCCAUCUUUAUUUCCAUGCCAUUUUCCUCAAUCCAAACACCUUUUUGAAGGCCAUUUCCUAUCUUAUUGUUUCAUUGAUUGAUGUAAAUAUUAAAUAUCUGGAAUUUUAAAAUGUUGUUGUUAGAUAAUCAAUAGCUAGAACUUAAAAAUUUGUGUAUAAAUAUUCAACAUAAUUUGUAAAAAGUAAAAUAAAAUAAUUACUUAACUUAAUGAUACAAAUCAAUUAAAAAUUUAACCAAAAUUAAUUCAUUGUUAUGUUAAUGAGUUAUUUAGUUGAUAAAGUAAAAGAUAAAAUAUAUAAUACUUUUUAACUGAACAUAAUAACUGUUAAAUUAGUUAAAAUAUUGAUAAUUAACAAUAAUAACACAUAGACAUCGUAUGGUUAAAAGUAUUGAUUGAAAUUUAUUAAUCUAAAUAAUGUAUUUAUAUCUAAUAAUAAAUUAAAAUUAAUAUAUAGUACUAAAUAAUUGAUAUUAAUUUAUAAACAUGGACACGAAUGUUUGUGAGUGAAUAAAUAAUGAAAAUUAAGGUUAAAGAUAUAAAAUAUUGAAUUAUAGAGAGCAAAACUCAAAAUUUAAAGUAAAAUUGAAAGAUUAAAUUAAAACAAAAAUAAAACCAUGAGCGCUAAAUAUAUAUAUCAUUUUAAAAUAUAAGAACUAAAUAGAAAAGGCAAUGACCGAAACUUAUUUUUCUCAAUGUUUAAAACUGGUUGACGAUUGGGUUAAAGGUUGAGGAUAGCUUAUUUUUUCUCUUAUUUAUGAGGGUUUUUCUGAAACAAAUAGAAAUCACAUCAACCAACAAAAAUGAAAGACGGAGAUAUUGACCAUCACUUAUGCAUUCCAAAUUAACUUUGACUUCAACUUCUUUUAUUUUCAUUUUCAUGCUUUUCUUUUCAAACAAAUUAGUAGCUUAGUUAUGGAAAAUAGUAUUCGUUUUAAGUUCAUAUCAUUCCGCCUUUUUCUUUUUCUUUUUCUGCUUGUCAACUAGUGUUGGCCGAAUGCGUGUUUGGAUUUGGAUUUCCAUUUCUAAAAUAAGCACCGCACCCAUCUCACAUACCCACAAACAAUAUUCCGGAGUGCUACCAAGCAGAAAUGGUUUGGUUAACAUUCAACUCUUCCCCUUCCCCUUCCCUCUUCUUGCCUUUUCUAUUCUUCUUCUUCCUAUACAUUUGCCAUCGCAACCGCAUGGCCAUGUCCCAAGAAGACCUCGGAUGGUUUUGCGAUAAUUCAGAAGGAAACUACACCACUAACAGUCCCUACAAACCCAAUCUAAACCACCUCCUUUCCACUUUCACCACCCAUCAAAUCGACUACGGCUUCUACAACCUCUCCUACGGCCAUGACCACAAAGCUUAUGCUAUCGGUCUAUGCAGAGGAGACGUUUCGCCUCAAUCUUGCAAAAGCUGCCUCAACAACUCAAUAACCCUUCUCACCGGUAACUGUCCCACCCAAACUAAUGCCAUUGUUUGGUACG
rnacentral:lncRNA from 1 species